AUUGAACGCUGGCGGCAUGCCUUACACAUGCAAGUCGAACGGCAGCGCGGGAGCAAUCCUGGCGGCGAGUGGCGAACGGGUGAGUAAGACAUCGGAACGUGUCCUGGAGUGGGGGAUAGCCCGGCGAAAGCCGGAUUAAUACCGCAUACGCUCUAUGGAGGAAAGCGGGGGAUCGCAAGACCUCGCGCUCAAGGGGCGGCCGAUGGCGGAUUAGCUAGUUGGUGGGGUAAAGGCCUACCAAGGCGACGAUCCGUAGCUGGUCUGAGAGGA
rnacentral:rRNA from 1 species